UGCUCUCCAUUCUCAACGAAAAAGGAGC
rnacentral:piRNA from 1 species